GACGAACGCUGGCGGCGUGCUUAACACAUGCAAGUCGAACGGAAAGGCCCUGCUUUUGUGGGGUGCUCGAGUGGCGAACGGGUGAGUAACACGUGAGUAACCUGCCCUUGACUUUGGGAUAACUUCAGGAAACUGGGGCUAAUACCGGAUAGGAGCUCCUGCUGCAUGGUGGGGGUUGGAAAGUUUCGGCGGUUGGGGAUGGACUCGCGGCUUAUCAGCUUGUUGGUGGGGUAGUGGCUUACCAAGGCUUUGACGGGUAGCCGGCCUGAGAGGGUGACCGGGCACAAUGGGAAUGAGGAAACGGCCAGAAUCCUAAGGGAGGGAAGAGGGGGGAAAAAUGGAAAAAGGGGGGGAGGCUGAAGGCGGAAUGGCGGGGGGGGGGAGGACGGCCUUGGGGUGGUAAACGGCUUUGGCCGGGAAGGAAGGGGGGGGGAGGGAAAUGGGGAAAGAAGAACCGCUUAAUAAGGU
rnacentral:rRNA from 1 species